rnacentral:tRNA from 1 species
AUUUAAAUAGUUUAUAUAAAAUAUUGAUUUGUGGAAUCAAUGAUGUGUAAUUACACUUUAGAUA